rnacentral:rRNA from 1 species
AUGAACGCUGGCGGCGUGCCUAAUACAUGCCGGUCGAGCGAACAGACGAGGAGCUUGCUCCUUUGACGUUAGCGGCGGACGGGUGAGUAACACGUGGAUAACCUACCUAUAAGACUGGGAUAACUUCGGGAAACCGGAGCUAAUACCGGAUAACAUGUUGAACCGCAUGGUUCAACAGUGAAAGACGGUCUUGCUGUCACUUAUAGAUGGAUCCGCGCCGCAUUAGCUAGUUGGUAAGGUAACGGCUUACCAAGGCAACGAUGCGUAGCCGACCUGAGAGGGUGAUCGGCCACACUGGAACUGAGACACGGUCCAGACUCCUACGGGAGGCAGCAGUAGGGAAUCUUCCGCAAUGGGCGAAAGCCUGACGGAGCAACGCCGCGUGAGUGAAGAAGGUCUUCGGAUCGUAAAACUCUGUUAUUAGGGAAGAACAAAUGUGUAAGUAACUAUGCACGUCUUGACGGUACCUAAUCAGAAAGCCACGGCUAACUACGUG